rnacentral:rRNA from 1 species
AGGAGUGGCGAACGGGUGAGUAACACGUGGGUAACCUGCCCAUCAGAAGGGGAUAACACUUGGAAACAGGUGCUAAUACCGUAUAACAAUCGAAACCGCAUGGUUUUGAUUUGAAAGGCGCUUUCGGGUGUCGCUGAUGGAUGGACCCGCGGUGCAUUAGCUAGUUGGUGAGGUAACGGCUCACCAAGGCCACGAUGCAUAGCCGACCUGAGAGGGUGAUCGGCCACAUUGGGACUGAGACACGGCCCAAACUCCUACGGGAGGCAGCAGUAGGGAAUCUUCGGCAAUGGACGAAAGUCUGACCGAGCAACGCCGCGUGAGUGAAGAAGGUUUUCGGAUCGUAAAACUCUGUUGUUAGAGAAGAACAAGGAUGAGAGUAACUGUUCAUCCCUUGACGGUAUCUAACCAGAAAGCCACGGCUAACUACGUGCCAGCAGCCGCGGUAAUACGUAGGUGGCAAGCGUUGUCCGGAUUUAUUGGGCGUAAAGCGAGCGCAGGCGGUUUCUUAA